rnacentral:lncRNA from 1 species
CGUGCAGGUCCGUUACAUAGGUAUACAUGUGCCAUGGUGGUUUGCUGAACCCAUCAACCCGUCAUCUUCAAAGAUAAGGCCUUCAGUAUAUCAAGAUCAGUGGAUCAAAGAAACAUCCUCAAGAAACUAAGAAACAACACAAGAUUCUCUCUGAUGAAAUGCUUAAGUAUAAGGAAAAUGAUGGAAGACACAGAAGAGCAGCAGAAUUGGGUAGAAGACUACUACAGAUGCCAGAUCGCCACUUCUGAAAGAAAGGCUUACGACAACUGGCUCUGUGUUUAAGCCUCGCAGAGGGAGAUGCAAGAGAAGAAGGCUGCCUACAAGCAGCACAGGAAAUGAUUGAAAAACAGAGAGUGCUGGAGAGACACAUUAGUCAGGAGCCAGCUAGUGGACAACCAGGCAUAGAGAAUCAUCCCCAAAGAGGUCAAUAUGGCUUUGGGAGGGCCCCUUUUUCAGGAUUGCCCUACUUGCUCUACUGCAUGGCUGGCUCUUCAGGACCAUUUGUGGGCUGCCAGACACCUCCUCUGCCUGGGUGGCCUCUGGGAACACGACCACUGCCUCCAUGCACACCACUUGGACAAGCUGAAAUUUGAAGAGGCCCCUGAGCUGUGACAGCCAUGCUGUGGCUCCUACAUAACUUGGAAAAGUAUCCAAUACAUUUUACGCUGCCUGCCCAGUGCUGCCUCAUCUGUCUCUAAUCUUCUGUAGUGUUUCCCCUAAUAAAGGUUUG